UUUCAUUUUUCUUUCUGCCUUCCGUCCAUUUUCCUCCUCAUGGGGCCUUGCUUACUUCCGGUGCGCUCGUAUUAGCUAUGCUAGCUAUUUAACGUCUGUUUAUGGCAUACCUCCACGGUAGCGGUAGUUCUACUGCUCGCCUUUCAUUUAUUACCUUUCCUACUUCACUUCCUUCUAGUAUUUUGAUACUUUCCGCUGUGCUGAGUUCGCUUCUGUCUCUAAUCCUCUUAAUUACUCUUGCGUCCUCCCAGUCUAUUUUUACAUCGUACUCUAAGGCCCUCCUUGCUAGGGCAGUUGUUUGUAGGCCCUUCUUCACGUCCGAUUGGUG
rnacentral:lncRNA from 1 species